rnacentral:misc_RNA from 1 species
AAAAAAUCUUAUUUGCAUUGGAUAGUAGUUUGUCCUUAUUCAUUAAUAAAAUUAUGGAACAGAUUUUAUAAUCUCAUUUUGGAGAUGUUCACUUUGUUUUUAUGUUCUAUGUAAGGUUAUGUAAGGUGGUAGUCAUGCCUACUUAUAAUGACUGAAGCUGACAUACACUUGGCUUUUAGAUAAAUACUAUCCAUUGCUGAAAUAGGCAGGAGAUCGUUGUGUUGAGAACCAAUUCCAUCAUUGACUAUGAUUGUGAAUAUCUUUUGA